rnacentral:rRNA from 1 species
UGGGGAAUCUUGGACAAUGGGGGCAACCCUGAUCCAGCGACGCCGCGUGAGUGAAGAAGGCCUUCGGGUUGUAAAGCUCUUUCAGACGGAAAGAAAUCGGGCGGGUGAAUAGCCUGCCUGGAUGACGGUACUGUCAGAAGAAGCACCGGCUAACUACGUGCCAGCAGCCGCGGUAAUACGUAGGGUGCGAGCGUUAAUCGGAAUUACUGGGCGUAAAGCGUGCGCAGGCGGUUGUGUAAGACAGGUGUGAAAUCCCCGGGCUUAACCUGGGAACUGCGCUUGUGACUGCACGGCUAGAGUACGGCAGAGGGGGGUGGAAUUCCACGUGUAGCAGUGAAAUGCGUAGAUAUGUGGAGGAACACCGAUGGCGAAGGCAGCCCCCUGGGCCGAUACUGACGCUCAUGCACGAAAGCGUGGGGAGCAA